GAUCGAUACGUUUUCAUUACAAGUUUGCAAGAUGGGGGUGAAAGUAGCCAUACUUUUUGCAAUUUUUGCGGUUGCCUUAACUGAAGCGUUGGAAACAGCUGAACCAUGUGAUCCGUCGAAGUGUCAGCUGCCGGACUGCAGAUGUGCUAGCACGAAUAUUCCUAGUGGAUUAAGGGCACAAGAUACGCCACAGUUCAUAACCAUUACCUUCGACGACAAUGUCAACACUCAAAACAUUGCGACGUAUCGUGAAGUCCUAUACAACAGGAGGAAUAAGAACAACUGUCCCAUCGGAGCGACUUUCUACGUGACUCAUGAAUACACUGACUACACACUAGUGAAUGAACUCUACAAUGAAGGAUUUGAAAUUGCUCUGCACUCCAUAUCGCAUAAGUCCCCGCCGUCGUACUGGGCUACAGCCUCUGUAGAAGAACUGAAACAGGAGCUUGGUGAUCAGAUAACUCAAAUGUCCACUUUUGCUAAUAUUUCCGAGUCUUCCAUCAAAGGUUUACGCAUGCCAUUUUUCCAAAUGGCUGGCAACAAUCAAUUCCAAGUGAUGGCUGAAGCAGGUCUUACAUACGAUAGCAGCUGGGGUGCUACCAACAGCAUCAACCCUGGCUUGUGGCCAUACACCCUGGACUACGCUUCACCUCAAGAAUGCAACAUCGGUCCGUGCCCUAAUGCCUCCUUACCUGGACUCUGGGUGUCUCCUUUGCUUGCUUGGGUUGAUAAUAGUGGAUACACUUGCACGAUGGUGGAUUCUUGUUACUCUAGUCCAGGUCCGCAAGACGAUAGAGGCUGGCUGGAAUUCAUCAUCCGCAAUUUCGAAAACCACUACCACGGCAAUCGCGCCCACUUCGGUUUCUACAUCCACGAGGCCUACUUCACGUCUCAUCCGGCGGCGAAACGCGCGCUGGUUCGCUUCCUGGACCUCGUUGACAACCUUUAUGAUGUUUUUGUGGUCAAUGCAUCAGAAGUUAUAGAAUGGGUAAAGAAUCCAAUUCCAGUGGACGAGUAUCUCAAGCAAAGCUGCAAAACUAAUGAUCGUAUGGAAUGUGCUUCUAAGAUCUGUGGCCCUUACAAAUCAGACCAUAGUGAGGUUAGUACUAAUCUAUGUCUAAUGUCUGUAAUUUGAUAAAUAAUGUUAUGACCGUCUCAUUCAGUGCAAAUGUAGAAUAAGCAGUAGUUGUUUUGGAAUUUAUAAUCAAAGUAUAUAAUGAUUUUUAUAUAGAGUCCGCGCCACCACUAAGGUCUUACGGCAAAGGCAGGAACUACAAUUUUAUUUAUUUAUUUACUAAUUUUAAAGGCAUACACGUGAUAAUUUAUUUGUGAAUUCAGUGGCGUGAACUCUACAGUACUCUACACAUACACUCGCAAGCAAUGAAAAAUUUCCAGUGGCAAUAGCACCAAUUUCGUGUAAACACCAAAUUUAACGUUUUCGUAAAUAUCUUAAUGACGCCCUGUGCAAAAAUGAAGUAUAUUUUAAUAACGCAUGUGAAUAUUAAUUAAAAACUUAAAUAUUUUGUUCAUAUUCUAAAUUAAAUUGUGCAUUUGAUGCCGACACUUUGCAAGUGGAAGUUUUUCAUUGCUCGUGUAUUUUGGAAUUUAUUAUCAAUUAACAUAAUUUCAAUCAUCAUUAUUAAGUCGUACGGCAAAAAAGCAGGAACAACAAUAUA